CUAAUUCUAAACAAAGUAUGACAAAAGACCUCUCCUCGAUUUUCACAUCUGAAAAAUUAAAGAAACUAAUAAAUAGGGGAAUUUAAUAUUGAUUUCAAAACUAGUUUUUCUUUAAAAAAAUCCCUAAACCUAGGUUGGCUCGCCGUUUUCCCAAGUUCAUCUACAAUAGAUUUCUCGCCGCUUUCCUAAAGUCAUCUAAAACUUGCUACUAUUCCAAAUUCCUUAAGAAGAUCUUGCACCAGAAAUCCUUUUAGCAGGGAGCUUCCUAUUCUUUGUAGUAUGUAAAGGUGAAGGAGUUAAAUUUUUGGUUCAUUUUGUCAAUCCCCGUAUGCUAAAUUUCAAAUUUUCAUUUCCUAUGUAAAAUAUAAUUUUUACUAUUAAUUGUCUGAUUGUUAGUAUAAAGUAGUUUAAGCUAUCCAGUUACAAUAUUUGGGUAUAUUCUAUUUUGUCAAUGAGGGCUAAUUUUUGAUUGGUGUAUUGGAGGAUUGUCAUGUUGCUGUCCUGUUUCAGGAAUGUUUUAUAACUUUUUGGGCAUAGUAUGAAUACAGUAAAAUUUUAUUUUAUGUCGAAGCUAAGAAAAUAAUAGAUGUUUCAAUGGAGUACUUGUUGCUUAGCAGUGGAUAUUAAUUAAUUUAGUUAUGAUGGAUUAAUACGAUACAAAUUUCUUUAUGAUUUGUUUUGAACUAUAUUGUUCAUACUCUUCAAAGAUUUUGAUGUGAUACCUAUAGGAGGACCCUCCUAUAAUUUUCCAUUUUUUGCAGAUGUGUGACACGUCCGAAAAUAUUUUAGGACAAUCGAGAUACAUAGAUUUUUACUCAUCUAUUCAAGAAAUUAUUUUUCAUGUCAAUUAUUAUUUUCAAGGUUGAUAUUUAAUUUUCAACUUAGGUAUAUAUUCAAAUUUCAAAGAUCAAGGAUCAAGGAAAAACUUUCUCUAGUUAUCAUAUUCAAGGAUCAAGGAAAAACUGAAUUGGAAUGAGGGGUUGAAUCGAUGGGAUAUUUCAAUUCUCUUCCGCUUCAUCAUAAUCCAUUCUCGUUAUUCCAAUGAUUUUUUGUGCUUCUAUUGAAUGAUGUUUCAAAUUUCUUUAGUGUAUUAUGCUUAUUGGAAUAGAUAUUGAUUCUGCUUAAAACAAUGUAAUAUGAUGACCAACCAUUUAUGGGGUAUUUCAAAUCUCUUUCGCUUCAUCAUAAUCCAUUCUCUUUAUUCCAA